rnacentral:rRNA from 1 species
GUGUUAAUUGUGCAGAGGAACCACCCGUUCCCAUUCCGAACACGGAAGUUAAGCUCUGUAACGUUGAAAAUACUUGGUUGGAAACGAUCUGGGAAGA